rfam:Aspergillus fumigatus A1163 ctg_000004, whole genome shotgun sequence.
AUCCUGGUGCACGGGUUUUACACGUGUCAGUGAGGAGACAUCCGAGACCGUGUUUUUGCUAGUUGAAAACUACCUAGUUGACCGCUUCAGUUGGUCUUCGGAUCGGCUGGGAAUUUUUGAAAAAAAGUUGCCCUGACAUCCUAAGUCUUGGUGUCAGUUUU